rnacentral:misc_RNA from 1 species
ACAAGUUUUGGUGGGGAUAAUUGUGAAGUGGCCGAUGUAAGCGUUAGCGCGAGUCGUUUGGCGAGUGUUAACGAGCGUUGGCAGCUGUAUGCGCAUGAUGUAGUCUACACACAACAACAAUCAUAUA